GCACCAGUAGCUUAGCUGGAUAAAGUGUUCGGCUACGAACCGGAAGACCGGGGGUUCGAAUCCCUCCUGGUGCACCA
rnacentral:tRNA from 1 species